AAGUCGUAACAAGGUAACCGUAGGUGAACCUGCGGUUGGAUCAUUACAUAUUCAUAGAAUAAACAAUGUGCUCAUUUAUUUGUAUUGUAUUGAACAGUGAUGAUAAUGGUUUGAUAAAUGUAGCCAAAACAACUUUUGACAAUGGAUCUCUUGAUUCCU
rnacentral:misc_RNA from 1 species